UUGAACGCUGGCGGCAGGCCUAACACAUGCAAGUCGAGCGGUAGAGAGAAGCUUGCUUCUCUUGAGAGCGGCGGACGGGUGAGUAAUGCCUAGGAAUCUGCCUGGUAGUGGGGGAUAACGUUCGGAAACGGACGCUAAUACCGCAUACGUCCUACGGGAGAAAGCAGGGGACCUUCGGGCCUUGCGCUAUCAGAUGAGCCUAGGUCGGAUUAGCUAGUUGGUGAGGUAAUGGCUCACCAAGGCGACGAUCCGUAACUGGUCUGAGAGGAUGAUCAGUCACACUGGAACUGAGACACGGUCCAGACUCCUACGGGAGGCAGCAGUGGGGAAUAUUGGACAAUGGGCGAAAGCCUGAUCCAGCCAUGCCGCGUGUGUGAAGAAGGUCUUCGGAUUGUAAAGCACUUUAAGUUGGGAGGAAGGGCAGUUACCUAAUACGUGAUUGUUUUGACGUUACCGACAGAAUAAGCACCGGCUAACUCUGUGCCAGCAGCCGCGGUAAUACAGAGGGUGCAAGCGUUAAUCGGAAUUACUGGGCGUAAAGCGCGCGUAGGUGGUUAGUUAAGUUGGAUGUGAAAUCCCCGGGCUCAACCUGGGAACUGCAUUCAAAACUGACUGACUAGAGUAUGGUAGAGGGUGGUGGAAUUUCCUGUGUAGCGGUGAAAUGCGUAGAUAUAGGAAGGAACACCAGUGGCGAAGGCGACCACCUGGACUGAU
rnacentral:rRNA from 1 species